UUGAUGCAUUUCCAAGUAAGUUGCAGGCAUAAUUACAUUUCACCCCUACACUUUUAGUAUGUAUGUCAUUAACUAGAAUUCAAUUUUUUUCAGUUUUUAAAAGAAAAUGUUAUAUGCAGUGAAAUGUACAAGUCUUAUAUGUACCAUCCAGUUGGUUUUGACAAAUGCAUUCACUUGCCUAACCCAAAUUCCUAUUGACAUAGAACAUUUCCAUGACUCCAAAAAGCUCUCUGCCCUUAGUUUUUAAAGGUUAUCGUUCUUAAACCCUAAAAAUCAAUUUGCUUGUAUCAGUGUUCUGAAGUAAAAACAGGGACUUAAAGAUCAAUUUAUUAGCGAGAUUGAAAUAAAUUUUUUGGUCAAGGGAGGUAAUUAGUGUAGAACCAGAGCUCAAAUAGAUGAAAACCACAGUACCAGUUGUAAAGACAAAGAUGAUUUGCCUCCUGAUCAAGGACCUCCUUGAUCUCCAAGGGUUAUACUUUACAAACUGAGAAAAUGCAGUAUUUCAAAUAAUCUUUUCAGUUAUAUCACUGGGUGCAGAUUUUCUCUGCAGCAUUUGGAGACCUGGAACCUCAGAGUUGACAGUAAAGAAAUUAUGAAAUGGAUAUAUUAGGAAGACAGAUUUUGUGGUGGUUUAUAAAAGGAUAGGAGGCAUGGAGAGCAUAUAGGAUCCUAAGAUGGGCUGUGAUCCUGUUCCAUUUGUAUCUGUGCCUAACACAGUCCUGCUCGCUUAUUUCCUUAUUUUCUAACCAACCCUCCUAGAUGGGCUUUCCUCAUUCUCUGGACUUACCACAUACUCUGAAUCUGCAGUCUUCACUAUCAUUUCUUCACUUUUCCUUUUCUCCAUUUUGGGUCAUCUUCUCAGGAUACAGGAGUAAUUUCAAAACAGAGUCAUAUGUAACUUAUAUGUCUUUCUUCAUUGCUACUCUAGCAGUGUAUUUCAACAGGAAGGAGGAAUAGGGGACUUUUGUACUUUGGAUUUCUUUCAGACUGGAAGACCAGGCCUGAAGUCAAAUCAUCACAUUUGCAGCACGAUGUAUCAGAAGUAUCCCACUGCACACAUGAUCUCUUACAUGCUACAUUAGAAGACUCCUGGGAUGUUAGCAGCCAGUUAGACAGGCAACAGGAAAACUGGAAGAGACAUCUGGGAUCAGAGGCAUCCACCCAGAAGAAAAUAAUUACACCACAAGAAAGUUUUGAGCAAAAUAAAUUUGGUGAAAAUUCUAGAUUGAACACCAAUUUGGUUACACAACUGAACAUUCCUGCAAGAAUAAGGCCUAGUGAAUGUGAGACCCUUGGAAGCAAUUUGGGACAUAAUGCAGACUUACUUAAUCAGAAUAAUAUUCUUGCAAAAAAGAAACCCUAUAAGUGUGAUAAAUGUAGAAAAGCCUUUAUUCAUAGAUCAUCGCUUAGUAAACAUGAGAAAACACAUAAAGGAGAGGGAGCUUUCCCUAAUGGAACAGAUCAAGGAAUUUAUCCUGGAAAGAAACACCAUGAAUGUACCGACUGUGGGAAAACCUUUCUCUGGAAGACACAGCUUACUGAGCAUCAGAGAAUUCACACUGGGGAGAAACCCUUUGAAUGCAAUGUAUGUGGAAAGGCCUUCAGGCAUAGCUCAUCUCUUGGUCAGCAUGAGAAUGCUCAUACCGGAGAGAAACCCUAUCAGUGUAGUCUCUGUGGGAAAGCCUUCCAGCGCAGCUCCUCCCUUGUUCAACACCAGCGAAUUCACACUGGAGAGAAACCCUAUCGAUGUAAUCUAUGCGGGAGGUCCUUUAGGCAUGGCACAUCCCUCACUCAACACGAGGUCACACACAGUGGAGAGAAGCCCUUCCAGUGUAAGGAAUGUGGGAAAGCCUUUAGUCGAUGUUCUUCCCUUGUCCAACAUGAGAGGACUCAUACUGGAGAGAAACCUUUUGAAUGUAGCAUAUGUGGGAGGGCUUUUGGUCAGAGCCCAUCCCUUUAUAAACAUAUGAGGAUUCAUAAGAGAGGCAAACCUUACCAAAGCAGUAACUACAGCACAGAUUUCAAGCACAGCACAUCUCUCACUCAAGAUGAAAGCACUCUUACCGAAGUGAAAUCCUACCAUUGUAAUGACUGUGGGGAAGACUUUAGUCACAUUACAGACUUUACUGACCAUCAGAGGAUCCAUACUGCAGAGAACCCCUAUGAUUGUGAGCAGGCUUUUAGUCAGCAAGCUAUUUCUCAUCCUGGAGAGAAACCCUAUCAAUGUAAUGUAUGUGGGAAAGCUUUCAAAAGGAGUACAAGUUUCAUAGAGCAUCACAGAAUUCAUACUGGAGAGAAACCCUAUGAAUGUAAUGAGUGUGGAGAAGCCUUUAGUCGACGCUCAUCGCUUACUCAACAUGAGAGAACCCACACUGGAGAGAAACCCUAUGAAUGUAUUGACUGUGGGAAAGCCUUUAGUCAAAGUUCAUCUCUCAUUCAGCAUGAGAGAACUCAUACUGGAGAGAAGCCCUAUGAAUGUAAUGAAUGUGGGAGAGCCUUCCGAAAAAAAACCAACCUGCAUGAUCAUCAGAGAAUUCAUACUGGAGAAAAACCCUAUUCUUGUAAGGAAUGUGGGAAAAACUUCAGCCGAAGUUCAGCUCUUACUAAACACCAGAGAAUUCAUACUCGAAAUAAACUCUAGGAACCGUGAAAUUAAGGAAUUUGCAGAAUGCUUUAGCUAAAAUGUUCUGAUUCAGGAUCAGAGGAUUCUUAGAGAGCUUGGGAAUGUAAUGAAUUAUGUGUGUGUUUAUACGUUGUGUGUGGAGAAAACUGCCAGUAGACAGAUUUUUUUUUUUUUAACAUAAAGACACAUUCUCAGAUCUGAUUACAGACUAGUGUAAAAACAGCUACAUGUAUGUAGCUGGUUGGGGAUGAUAUGCCUAUAUGUUGGACUUUGCUUUUGAAUAUAUGUAUGCAGGAUAUCAUCAAGUUUCAACAUCUUGACUUGUGACCCCCAAUGUCAACAGCUUUUUUAAAAAACAAAUUCCUGCAGUAAUGACCAAAACCCAUUUUAAAAAUUGCUUGACAACUGCACUCAACUGCAGCUCUUAAAUUAACUUCACCAUGGAAACCAGUUCCAACUCCAGGAAGUCACCAUUCAAAGAAUUAGAUCAACUAGCCCAACCACUUCAUUGUACAGAUGAAGAGACUGAAAGCCAAAGAUGUGAAGUGGUUUCCACAGUAUGAUACAGCCUAUAAGGGUAAAGCUGGGUUUAAAAUGCAGGUUUCCUGGAUUUGGGGCCCCAUGGCCUUGCCAGUGAAAAGGUUAUUUUUGGACUCAGAGGGCUUUAAAAUAAAUUUUAAGAUGUAUCAGAUACACAAACAUUUAAUGGGCACCUAUGGGUUGGACACUUUGAGAAUUCUUAAAAGUAUAAGUGGCAGCAAAAUGUAUGCAAAUUUAUCACAAACUAUUUAAAGCAACUUCUUGGAGGCUUACAAACCACAAUUUAACAGAAACUGUAGAUGGUUGAACUACUAGUGACUUUUUUCCCCUUUUCCCAGUUACAAUUAUACUUUCAGCUAACAUAUGCCAGUUUCACAGAACUAUUAAGUCCCCUUAUUGCACUUUUUAUGGCAUGCCCAUGAAAAAGCACUUUCUUAAGCCUACAGUAUCAGAUCAAUGGGAAAACAACAGAAAACUGAGAGGAGAAUUUUCCCGUUAAUUUUCUUGCAGAAAAGUAUAAGUCUAAUUGCCCAUUGCCAUAAAUUUUGUCUUGUACUCAGAGAAGCAACAUGCACUGGUUCAUUUUAUGUGCAAAGAAAAGAUUUCACCAUUAAAAAAAUUAACUUGGCUAGGUAUGGUGUCUCACACCUGUAAUCCCAGCACUUUGGGUGGCUAAGGCAGAUAGACUGCUUGAGCCCAGGAGUUCAAGACCAGCCUGGACAACAUGGUGAAACCCCAUCUCUUU
rnacentral:sRNA from 1 species